rnacentral:ncRNA from 1 species
AGUGCUGAUAGAGGUGCGAGAUUCAUUAGUAAGAACUUGGAGAAGUAUGAGCUUCUUUGAUGGGUUCUGAAAGGGGAAAUCGCCGAAGCCAGACAGGACUCAUACCUGUUUGCAGGCUGGUCUGCCAUUGAAUAAAUGGCAGAUUGUCAAGAUUUUUUCUUGGGGAGCUAUCUCACUG